rnacentral:tRNA from 2 species
GCGGGUGUAGUUCAAUGGUAGAACGCAAGCUUCCCAAGCUUGAGACGGGGGUUCGAUUCCCCUCACCCGCUCCA